AGGUGCAUUUCUAGCCAACCCACAGUCAGUCCUCCUCGUCCUGCCCAACACUCAGAUGAAGGGGAAGGUUGCGGCCCUCCUUCCCAAUCAGCCGGCCCACGAGGCUGUUGUGGGCGAGGAUUUUGAGAGAGAUGUCCUCCGUCCUACGAACACACACCCACACACAUUCAGGAUAACCUUUGUCUUCUUGAGGAGAGUGUAACUUUGAGUGCCUUCAGGAGGAGGAAGCGACAGUGAAAGUGAUAGUAAGAGAAACAGAAACACGCCAUGACUUCCUUCUGGUCUGCAAAGGCCUCUGUCAGAAG